rnacentral:rRNA from 1 species
UACGUAGGGGGCAAGCGUUGUCCGGAAUCAUUGGGCGUAAAGCGCGUGUAGGCGGUUUGGUAAGUCCGCUGUGAAAGUCCGGGGCUCAACCCCGGGAGGCGGGUGGAUACUGUCAGACUAGAGUGCGGAAGAGGCGAGUGGAAUUCCCGGUGUAGCGGUGAAAUGCGCAGAUAUCGGGAGGAACACCAAUUGCGAAGGCAGCUCGCUGGGACGUGACUGACGCUGAGACGCGAAAGCGUGGGGAGCAAACAGG